UCGUAGCUCAGUUGGAUAGAGUAUCAGAUUCCGAAUCUGAGGGUCAUGGGUUCGACUCCCACCGAG
rnacentral:tRNA from 1 species